CCUACGGGUGGCAGCAGUGAGGAAUAUUGGUCAAUGGACGAAAGUCUGAACCAGCCAAGUCGCGUGAAGGAUGACUGCCCUAUGGGUUGUAAACUUCUUUUAUAUGGGAAUAAAACAGGGUAUGCAUACCCUCUUGUAUGUACCAUAUGAAUAAGGAUCGGCUAACUCCGUGCCAGCAGCCGCGGUAAUACGGAGGAUCCGAGCGUUAUCCGGAUUUAUUGGGUUUAAAGGGAGCGUAGGUGGAUUGUUAAGUCAGUUGUGAAAGUUUGAGGCUCAACCUUAAAAUUGCAGUUGAAACUGGUAGUCUAGAGUAUAGUUGCGGUGGGCGGAAUGCGUGGUGUAGCGGUGAAAUGCUUAGAUAUCAUGAAGAACUCCGAUUGCGAAGGCAGCUCACUGGACUGCAACUGACACUGAUGCUCGAAAGUGUGGGUAGCAAACAGGAUUAGAUACCCCGGUAGUC
rnacentral:rRNA from 1 species